rnacentral:tRNA from 1 species
GCGCCCGCUCAGCUGGAUAGGGCAUCAGACGACGAAUCUGAGGGGCGGGUGUUCGAAUCGUUCCGGGCGCGCCA